rnacentral:tRNA from 1 species
CGCAACUUAGCUCAAUUUGGUAGAGCGAUUCUCUCAUAAAGAAUAAGUAGUUGGUUCAAAUCCAACAAUUGCAA